rnacentral:rRNA from 1 species
AGAGUUUGAUCCUGGCUCAGGACGAACGCUGGCGGCAUGCCUAACACAUGCAAGUCGAACGGAGAUUACUUCGGUAAUCUUAGUGGCGAACGGGUGAGUAACGCGUGGGCAACCUGCCCUCUAGAUGGGGACAACAUCCCGAAAGGGGUGCUAAUACCGAAUGUGACAGCAAUCUCGCAUGAGGAUGCUGUGAAAGAUGGCCUCUAUUUAUAAGCUAUCGCUAGAGGAUGGGCCUGCGUCUGAUUAGCUAGUUGGUGGGGUAACGGCCUACCAAGGCGAUGAUCAGUAGCCGGUCUGAGAGGAUGAACGGCCACAUUGGGACUGAGACACGGCCCAGACUCCUACGGGAGGCAGCAGUGGGGAAUCUUCCGCAAUGGGCGAAAGCCUGACGGAGCAAUGCCGCGUGAGUGAUGAAGGAAUUCGUUCCGUAAAGCUCUUUUGUUUAUGACGAAUGUGCAGAUUGUGAAUAAUGAUUUGUAAUGACGGUAGUAAACGAAUAAGCCACGGCUAACUACGUGCCAGCAGCCGCGGUAAUACGUAGGUGGCGAGCGUUGUCCGGAAUUAUUGGGCGUAAAGAGCAUGUAGGCGGUUUUUUAAGUCUGGAGUGAAAAUGCGGGGCUCAACCCCGUAUGGCUCUGGAUACUGGAAGACUUGAGUGCAGGAGAGGAAAGGGGAAUUCCCAGUGUAGCGGUGAAAUGCGUAGAUAUUGGGAGGAACACCAGUGGCGAAGGCGCCUUUCUGGACUGUGUCUGACGCUGAGAUGCGAAAGCCAGGGUAGCGAACGGGAUUAGAUACCCCGGUAGUCCUGGCCGUAAACGAUGGGUACUAGGUGUAGGAGGUAUCGACCCCUUCUGUGCCGGAGUUAACGCAAUAAGUACCCCGCCUGGGGAGUACGUCCGCAAGGAUGAAACUCAAAGGAAUUGACGGGGGCCCGCACAAGCGGUGGAGUAUGUGGUUUAAUUCGACGCAACGCGAAGAACCUUACCAAGGCUUGACAUUGAAUGACCGCUUCAGAGAUGGAGCUUUCCCUUCGGGGACAUGAAAACAGGUGGUGCAUGGCUGUCGUCAGCUCGUGUCGUGAGAUGUUGGGUUAAGUCCCGCAACGAGCGCAACCCUUACUAUUAGUUGCUACGCAAGAGCACUCUAAUAGGACUGCCGUUGAUAAAACGGAGGAAGGUGGGGAUGACGUCAAAUCAUCAUGCCCUUUAUGACCUGGGCUACACACGUACUACAAUGGCGUUUAACAAAGAGAAGCGAAGCCGCGAGGUGGAGCAAAUCCCCAAAAAACGUCUCAGUUCAGAUUGCAGGCUGCAACUCGCCUGCAUGAAGUCGGAAUUGCUAGUAAUCGUAGGUCAGCAUACUACGGUGAAUACGUUCCCGGGCCUUG